AGUGAACGCUGGCGGUAGGCCUAACACAUGCAAGUCGAACGGCAGCACAGUAAGAGCUUGCUCUUACGGGUGGCGAGUGGCGGACGGGUGAGGAAUACAUCGGAAUCUACUUUUUCGUGGGGGAUAACGUAGGGAAACUUACGCUAAUACCGCAUACGACCUACGGGUGAAAGCAGGGGAUCUUCGGACCUUGCGCGAUUGAAUGAGCCGAUGUCGGAUUAGCUAGUUGGCGGGGUAAAGGCCCACCAAGGCGACGAUCCGUAGCUGGUCUGAGAGGAUGAUCAGCCACACUGGAAGUGAGACACGGUCAAGACUCCUACGGGAGGCAGCAGUGGGGAACAUUGGACAAUGGGCGCAAGCCUGAUCCAGCGAUACCGCGUGGGUGAAGAAGGCCCUCGGGUUGUAAAGCCCUUUUGUUGGGAAAGAAAAGCAGCAGGUUAAUACCCCGCUGUUCUGACGGUACCCAAAGAAUAAGCACCGGCUAACUUCGUG
rnacentral:rRNA from 1 species